rnacentral:rRNA from 1 species
UACGUAGGGUGCAAGCGUUGUCCGGAAUUAUUGGGCGUAAAGAGCUCGUAGGCGGUUUGUCGCGUCUGCUGUGAAAUCCCGAGGCUCAACCUCGGGCCUGCAGUGGGUACGGGCAGACUAGAGUGUGGUAGGGGAGACUGGAAUUCCUGGUGUAGCGGUGAAAUGCGCAGAUAUCAGGAGGAACACCGAUGGCGAAGGCAGGUCUCUGGGUCCACUACUGACGCUG